GCGACUUCCGUAUGAUAUUGCAAUAAAGAAUGACCAAUUGUACAAGUUUAUAGUCUACUUACAUAGUCAAAUGUCUAAUGGUGAUAUUGCAUAAAGCAGAAGUUGGCAGGUGGAUCUGUGACAUGCUAUUUCCCCGAAAUACGUAGCACGAAUGAAGAACGUAACAUGAACUCUCGAAUUUUAGCAUAUUUGAAUAUUCCCUGUGGAACGGAAGCUGAUAUGGCUUAUAGGAUUAGUGUCACACCAAGAAUUCCCGCGCUCAAACUCCUGCUAGGGGCGGCUAUGAUCUGCAAGGUUUUUACAACUAUCCAUCAUAUGUUUAAUAAAACCAUCCCUUUAUAUUCCUCGCUCCAGUUUUGUCAGAUUUUUGUCAGAAAUGUACCAAACAAGGUAUUUUUAUCGCUAUUUGUUGUAUUUGAGUAAAAUGUAAACAACACCAAAGCCCGCGGUGCAUGACCUCUAGUCGCUUUUGCUAGAUAGUAUACUUCAAAAUUAGGUUUCCGUUUUUAUAUCAAUUUUUAAAAUAAGUUAGGGUUAGGUCAGGGUUAGGUUAGGUUUAGGUUAGGCACGCCAAGAAGUUGAAUGUAGUUCUACUUUCAUUGCGUGUCCGCGAGCACUCAGACGGACAAAUUCAUAUUGACUGUUCAUAUCUUCGGUUCAGUAAAUGCUAUGUAGAUUAAAUUUUAGUCAAUGUUAACAUGAUAGCGAUUUAUUAGCUCUUUUAUGAUUUAUGAUUUUUGAGCUUUUUUUUCUUUUUUUUGAGCUUUUUUUGAGCCUUUUGCUUUUCUUUUUUCCCCCACAAUCAAUUGACGUUAUCAGACGUGUCGAAAGGGUUCAGCGUCGUGUGACUAAAGUCAUCCUAAACCUACCUAUUAAAACUGAUAUAACGUAUAAACAACGUUUGAACUCACUCCAUCUACUUCCCGCUCCUACUGGCAUGAAUUCCUUGAUCUGGUAUUUUUCUUCAAAAUUGUUCACAAUAUUACGACCAUGAACUCUGAAGUCAAGCCAAAUCAACAUAUUUCCACAAGAUCAACCCGAAACACUUCCGACCCUAGUCUACUCUACUUUCACCCUAAAAGAUGUAAAACCAUAACUUUUCAGCGAUCAUUCUUCUCACGCAAAUACAAAGUUAGGAACAACCUACCUGGCGAAAUGAGCCGCAUGGAUACAUCUUUAUUACGCUUUAGAAGCUUGCUAAAAGAACAUUAUUUGACGGCAUCUCAAACGAUUUUCGAAUCGGAUGAUCCAAGGACAUGGAAAUCUGCGCGUCCGAAAUGCAAUUCAGCACGCAUACUUAGGAUCUCCACGUCAUGUUGUAGUUAGUGCAUGUAUUCUCUCACUUAUCGGGACCACAGUAAUUGUCUUCACACGCUGUAUUCAUUGACUGGUUGUUUUCUGUCUUAUAUAUAUGUCUAUGUAUAUCUAUG